rnacentral:rRNA from 1 species
GAUGAACGCUGACAGAAUGCUUAACACAUGCAAGUCCACUUGAAUUUGGGUUUUUAACUUAGGUUUGGGUGGCGGACGGGUGAGUAACGCGUAAAGAACUUGCCUCACAGCUAGGGACAACAUUUGGAAACGAAUGCUAAUACCUAAUAUUAUGAUAAUAGGGCAUCCUAUAAUUAUGAAAGCUAUAAGCGCUGUGAGAGAGCUUUGCGUCCCAUUAGCUAGUUGGAGAGGUAACGGCUCACCAAGGCGAUGAUGGGUAGCCGGCCUGAGAGGGUGAUCGGCCACAGGGGGACAGAAACACGCCCUUUACUCCGAGGGGAGACAGAAGUGGGGAAUAUUGAAAAAGGGACCGAGAGUAUGAACCGGCAUUGCUGUGUGAAAGAUGAAGUUUUUCGAAAAAAAAAGUGCUUUCAGUUGAGAAGAAAAAAAGGAGGGUACCAAAAAAAAAGGGGCCGGCAAAAUCCGU